UGUCCUUAGUACGAGAGGACCGGGAUGGACCAGCCGCUGGUGCGCCGGUUGUACCGCCAGGUGCAGCGCCGGGUAGCUACGCUGGGACGAGAUAAGCGCUGAAAGCAUCUAAGUGCGAAACUCACCUGGAGAUGAGAUUUCCCAAUUGAAGGCCCGUCGGAGAUGACGACGUGGAUAGGCGGCAGGUGAACAAGUGGAAACACAAUAGCUGAGCCGUAC
rnacentral:rRNA from 1 species